rnacentral:rRNA from 1 species
UACGUAGGGGGCAAGCAUUGUCCGGAUUUAUUGGGCGUAAAGAGCGUGUAGGCGGCCAGACAGGUCCGUUGUGAAAACUAGAGGCUUAACCUCUAGACGUCGAUGGAAACCGUCUGGCUAGAGUCCGGAAGAGGAGAAUGGAAUUCCUGGUGUAGCGGUGAAAUGCGCAGAUAUCAGGAAGAACACCCGUGGCUAAGGCGGUUCUCUAGUACGGUACUGACGCUGAGACGCGAAAGCGUGGGGAGCAAACAGG